rnacentral:lncRNA from 1 species
UGGUUGGGCAGGGCAACAGUUAUCUGUGGCUCCAGGCAUCCACACACUAUUGUUAGUGUAGAUUUCUGCAGAAGCAUCUAUCCAGGUGAGAGGUUGAAUAAGUGGAGGAAAAGGCACAUAAGCCCAAUAAGAAUAUUUAUGUGUAGCAGGUAAAUCAGUGUGAGAGGAAACUGGUGAGACAGAAAGUAUAAGGAGGAGAAUCAUUAAAUAAAACUUAUUGUAAGUGAGAUUCUGAAGAAGGAAGAGAAGAACAGUGUUAAGUAUCCUGGCAAAGGAGCAUUAGGGUUACAGAUAGAAUUGAAGUUGCUCGUCAGCUGAUUGAAGAUAAGGAGAUUGGCCUGGAUUAUCCAGGUAGGCUCAAUGUAAUCAGGAAGGGCCUUUAAAGUGAGAGAGGGAGGCAGAAGAGGAAGUCAGAGCGAUGUGCUGUGAAAUCUACUACCGUUUGCUGGUUUUGAAAAUGGAGAAAAAGAGUGAGGAACUGAGAAACAUGGAUGGCCUUGGGAACGUGGAAAAGGGUCACUGAAAUGGGACGACAUGAACUCAAGGAGGCUAUUUAUGACCAUGUCAUUUGCAACAUGAAGAAAGCUUAUCUGGAGUGAAAGUAAAUGAGACCAACAGAGAUGAGAGACCCGGAGAAAUCCUGGUUACACUGCUUGAAUCCUGUCAGUCCUAUACUGGAGUCCUGUUAAUACAAAAUAAUAGUAAUAAUCCCUCUGUUUCUUAUGUUUAUGCCAACUUCAACAAAAAGAAACUUGACUAAGAGACAAUAUAAGAAUUUAAUGUGUAAUUAAGAAAGAACUCUCCACCACGGGGAAUGUGAAAGGUAUAUGAGUCCCUUUUCACGAUGCGAUGUCAUGUCUUUUAAAUAAGCCAUACUUUAUGUUCAAUAAAAAGAGAAUAAGCAGGAUUCGCAAGAGAACACAAUCCCUUUUUAACUGCUGGGAAGAUACUUUUAGUCAUUAAUGACUGGACGACAAUUUGGGACACAUAUAUGGAUAUUGGCCGGUUUGUGAUGAUGUGAUUGGGCCUCUAAGUGACAACAUUGUUCCCUGUAUAGAACACAUACUAACAAAAGGCCACAUGAGGACACAGUGAGAAGCUGGAAGUCUACAACCCAGAAGAGAGCCCUCAACAGAACCUAACCAUGCUGGUACCCUGAUCUCAGACAUCCAGCCUCCAGAAGAGUGAAAAAAUAUAAUUCUUAUUUCUAAGCAACCUGGUCUAUGGUAUUUCAUUAUGGCAGCCCAAGCUAAGACAGAUCCCUAUCCUAUUCACCAUGCUGCAGAGCCACAUGAGCCUCCCUUUUGUUCCUCAAGCUCAUCAAAUACCUCCUAGCCUUAGAACUUGCUAUUCCCUCUAACCAGAAUUCUCUUCCAGGUCUUUCCAUCCUGUAAGUCUUGUCCUUUAGAUCGAAAUUCACAUGUGACCUCCCCUGAGAAUGGUCCUCUGAAAACCUAUCUCAAAGAGUGUUCCCAGUUACUCUCUACCUUACCCCCAGGUUAUUAUCUUCCCACCACUUUUCCAUAUUUGUAAUCAUUUGCUUUUGUAUAUGUGUGAUAUGGUUAGGCUUAGUGUCCCUACCCAAAUCUCGUGUUAAAUUGUAAUCCCCAGGGAGAUUACAAUUUAGGGAGAGACCUGGUGGGAAGUGAUUGGAUUAUGGGGGUGGGUUCCCCCAUGCUGUUCUCGUGAUAGUGAGUGAAUUCUCAUAAGAUCUAAUGGUUUUGUAAAUGGUAGUUUUUCCUGUGCUGACUCAUUCUCUCUCCUGCUGCCUUGUGAAGAGGUGCCUUCUGUCAUGACUGUAAGUUUCCUGAAGCUUCCCCAACCAUGGGGAACUGUGAGUCAAUUAAAC